rnacentral:tRNA from 1 species
AGGGGUGUAGCUCAGUCCGGCCAGAGCGGCGGUCUCCAAAACCGUAGGUCGCGGGUUCGAAUCCUGCUGCCCCUGC